UGGGGAAUAUUGCACAAUGGGGGAAACCCUGAUGCAGCGACGCCGCGUGAGCGAUGAAGGUUUUCGAAUCGUAAAGCUCUGUCCUUGGAGAAGAUAAUGACGGUAUCCAAGGAGGAAGCACCGGCUAAAUACGUGCCAGCAGCCGCGGUAAUACGUAUGGUGCGAGCGUUGUCCGGAAUUAUUGGGCGUAAAGGGUACGUAGGCGGUUUAUCAAGUCAGAUGUUAAAGCGUGGGGCUCAACCCCAUAAAGCAUUUGAAACUGAUAAACUUGAGUAGUGGAGAGGAAAGUGGAAUUCCUAGUGUAGCGGUGAAAUGCGUAGAUAUUAGGAGGAAUACCAGUUGCGAAGGCGACUUUCUGGACACAAACUGACGCUGAGGUACGAAAGCGUGGGGAGCAAACAGG
rnacentral:rRNA from 1 species